UUUUCCUUUAAUAAAACUUUGCCAGCGCUCCUUUUGAAAAAAAAAAAAAGAAAAGAAAAGAAAAAGAAAAAGAAACUGUGUUCCAGAGAUGGCCAAGGUUGUACCUCAUGCUGCAGCUGGACUUGGUAAUGUGUAAGAGUCACCCAGGUGGUACUGGUUUUGAAGGCAUGAAGGUGUCAUGGAAAGCAUGAGGCUCGGUACUGUGGGAGGCCAGGGAAGGCCAUUGGUGAAAGUGCAGCCUCAGUUGUAGUUGAUGGUCAGGAUGGAAGGGUUCAUGCAAAGAAGCUGAGGCUUGGCACCAUGAAGAGAGCCUAUGAGAGGCUAUUGGUGAAGCCUAGUUGCGGUGGAAAACCCCAGCAUGUUGGAGAUGCCAGCACCAUGAGAUGAUCAACAAGAACAACAGCAACAAUGGGGUGGAUCAACCUGAGCUUAGAGUGCUACAUAGAGGGCAGAGCUGGAGAAAUGACCCAGAAGAUCAUGUGCAGAUUCCAGACAUUGGAACAAGAAGCUAUGAAGCUGAAGUUGCCUUGGAGACCCCACGAUAUUUGAGAUGCCCGAGCCAUGGGCUAUCUGCUGAGGAAAGCUGCUAACAGGGAGUGGAACCAGCCCAGGAGAAAGCAGUCUGUUGCAGUCAACAAAGAUGAAAAAGGAGUGGAGAUCUGAAGACCACUUUGACAUCAAACAUGGAGAUGCAGAGUUUGAAGUUUGCCCAGUGGUUUCCUGUCUUGCUUUGGGGAUUACAGUUAAGUGAUUGGAUGAACUUUGGACCUUUAACAUUGUCGAGACUCUUAAAGAUAAUGCGGGAUGUAUUUUUUAUUAUGCUAUGUAUAGGUGUGGCCCCAUAGACUCAUGUGUUUGAACAAGCCUAUGCAGGGACAGGGAGUGGAAUGUGGUUGGCCCAGGGAAUGGCACUAUUAGAGGGUGUGGCCUUGUUGGAGUAGGUGUGUCACUGUGGGCGUGGCCUUUAAUAGCCUUGUCCUAGCUGCCUGGAAGCCAGUCUUCUCCUAGCAGCCUUCAGAUGAAGAUGUAGAACUCUCAGCUUUUCCUGUACCAUGUCUGUCCAGAUGCUGCCAUGCUCCCACCUUGAUGAUAGUGGACUGAACCUCUGAACCUGUAAGCCAGCUCCAAUUAAAUGUUGCCCAAUUAAGAGUUGCCUUGGAGCCAGGUGUGGUGGCGCACGCCUUUAAUCCCAGCACUGGGGAGGCAGAGGCAGGCGGAUUUCUGAGUUUCAUACUCUCGAGGCCAGCCUGGUGUACAGAGUGAGUUCCAGGACAGCCAGGGCUAUACAGAGAAACCCUGUCUCAAAAAACAAAACAAACAAAACAAAACAAAACAAAAAGAGUUGUCUUGGGGGACUGGAGAGGUGGCUCAGUGGACCGGAGUUCAAUUCCCAGCAACUACAUGGUUGAUGUAUAUAUGAUAUAUGAUGCCCUCUUCUGGUGUGUCUCUUCUUCUUCUUCUUUUUUUUUUAAUUAGAUAUUUUCUUCAUUUACAUUUCAAAUGCUGUCUGGUGUGUCUCUCUGAUGAAGAGAGUGACAGUAUCAGUAUACUCACAUACAUAAAAUAAAUAAAUCUUUAAAAAU
rnacentral:lncRNA from 1 species